rnacentral:ncRNA from 1 species
GUAAAGUUUGACUCUGGCUGAGUGUUUUCUUUAUGAUGAAAGUGCAUGUAAAUUUGAGUGAGACAAUAUUUACUAGAUCUAAAUGAGGUAAGUAUAAGUUAAUAAAUUUUUUUUAGUAAUUAUUAAAUUCUCAGCAUAUAGUAUUAGUUUAUUAGUUAGAGCUAGAACUAGAAAAUCAUAUAAAAUCUGGCUAAAAUUGUGCCAGCCGCCGCGGUUAUACUGUGAGGUUAAGUGAACAAAUUUUGGUUAAAACAAGUUAUUAUGAUAUUGAAAUAAUAAAAAUGAGGUAUUAGGUAUAAGUGAAACAAAUAACUAAAAUAUUGAGUUUAUAAAAAUUAAUAAAUAAGAGGCUUAAAAGUUUAAGGGAUAAACCAGGAUUAGAUACCCUGCUAUACUUUAAUUAAAAAAAAAUUACCCGGGUAGUAUAUAGUUAUUUUCUUGAAACCCAAAGAGUUUGGCGGUACCUCAGUCUAGUUAGAGGAGCUUGUUCAGUAAUCGAUAAUCCGCGAAAAAUCUUACGCAUUCUUGUAAACAGUUUAUAUACCGUCGUUAUUAGAUAAUGUUAAAAGGCAAAUAAUUAUCCUAAUAUAAUAAAAUAUAAUAUAUCAGAUCAAGGUGUAACUUAUGAGUGCGAGUGGAAUGAGCUACAAUUUAAAUUAUAAAUACGAAAAUUAAUUUUAAAUAUAAUUAAUAGAAGGUGGAUUUAAUAGUAAUUACAUUUUUAGUAAGGAGUAAUGAUGUAAGCUCUGGGGUAUGUACACAUCGCCCGUCGCUCUCACUACAAAGUGAGAUAAGUCGUAACAUAGUAGGGGUACUGGAAAGUGUUCCUAGAAUGCA